rnacentral:lncRNA from 1 species
AGACCACAGUGACCCGUGACUACGUCUUGACUGAAAUGCAGGCCUUGAAUCUAAUCAUUGUGUUGAAAAGAGGUGUUGAGCCUACGAAAUGAAGAAGGUCCUUAGCACUCACCAGGAACAGUGGUUGCCUCUAGGAAUGAAAUGGGAUGACGGAAGACCUGGGGAGCAGUGGCAGGAGGAGACACUCAUGAUGCGCCUUUUGGCCAUAGGAGGAGGGAGAGGAGAAAUGAGGAAAAAAAGCCAAAUUUUUUCCUUCAAAGUCACUGUCAUGGCUAAGAAAGCAACUCCAACCCACACACUGCAAAUAUGAAGGACCACAAAAGGCACGCAGGCUCUGGUUUGCAUAGUGAAGAUGAGCGACCGUGUUCCUAAGCAUGAAGGACCAUGAAAGGCACGCAGGCUCUGGUUUGCAUAGUGAAGAUGAGCGACCGUGUUCCUAAGCAUGAAGGACCACGAAAGGCAUGCAGGCUCUGGUUUGCAUAGUGUGGAUGAGCGACUGUGUCCCUAAGCAUGAAGGACCACGAAAGGCAUGCAGGCUCUGGUUUGCGUAGUGAAGAUGAGUGUCUGUUCCUAAGCAUGAAGGAGGACCACAUGAGGAUCCUGGACACCUACUGCAUGAAUGUAUUCACCCUUUCAGGUCUAGGGACCUGCAUCUCCUGGACAGUCAGCCGAGUGUUUCCAUGAUACCAGCCAUACCUGAUGCCAGGAGACUCGCUACACUUGGAAGCUCUUCAAGGCAUGCUUAUCUUUGUGAACUGAAUCUUGGAGAAGCAGGAUUGAAAAUAAGAGCUAUCUUUGAGGCUCUAGCACCUACAAGAGACACCCUCCCUCUCCACCGUGGAUCACCUGUCUCACCCGUGUGAGUCUCCACACAGAAACCAGUCAUGGCCCUGCCUUUGCCCCCCUUGAAAUCACCCAAGAGGAUGCUUCAAACUCAGGUUUAACAUCCUCCCAGGAUGUCAACUGGAAGAUCAUGCCGUUCCUGACAAUUAGAAGGUAAUAACGAAUUUUCAACCAACUCCACAUUCAUCCUGACACAUCCCUUUGGCACAUUUUUAAGGUGAAACGUGUGACUCCAUAACGUUUUCUUUUUAGGCAAGGGCUUCUGUGGUGGUAAUCAUGACCUAAAGAGCCCGAUUCUGCAGUCUUCAGAGAGCCAGGAUUCCUGCCCAAAGUUAGACAGGCAGCAUUUGAAGCAAAGUUUACUUCUUCUGACUAUUCGUUUUUUAUUUAUUACAGCAGAUUUAUCAUGUGCUAGAUAAUUUCACAUUCAUGGCUUUUCUAGUGCUCAAUUUAUCAAGGACAGUGGUGCCACAUACUCUUGUAUUUUAUCACAAGUACCAUCAGGAUAAGA